GCACUCAACUAAUGCUGGAGCCACCUUUAGACAAAGGAAGAAGUCAUGAAAGAAGUCCUUGAAGAUAUACUAAGAGCAUUCAUCUGUGUCAUUCGUGUUCGGAUUUUAAAGCUACUACCUGUAUUUCUCAGCUGUGAUCUUUGGAGCAAAAGCCAACGGCAGGAAAAAAAUAGUUUGUACCAGUUUCAUGAAGUAUGUCUUUGGGUUUUUGUAAAUAAUUUUAACUCAAAUAAAAUUGCUACUUUCAAUAUAUAAAUAUCUAUAUAAUGUAGUCUUUAAUGUCAAUUCAUAGUAUUUAAGGUUUGACAUUUCAUUUAUGUAAAUGUAGGCUAUCCACAAAAAUUAAUGUAUUUUAGAGAAAAUUCUUUCUAAAAUGUGUUUGGUGGUUGUAAACAGUGAUAGAUAUUUGUAAUGGCAUUCAAGGUUUGUUGAAUCUUACAGGUGGCUCUGUGCUGUUUAGUUACUCUUAUCUUGUCACAACUGGCAGCAAGCCUUUCUCUAGUAGUUUUUCCUCAUAAUAUGCUAUUCUCAUCACUUAGGUUUAUACAGUUCUUAAUUUAUAUAGCUCUUGAACAUUUCAAAAUGCUUUUCUCAGGUCUGCUUAGGUGGCUAAUGUGUCAUUAAAUCCAUCUUGAAGAUUCAGAGAGAGGCUUAGUAACUUGUACAUCAGACUUAGUCUGAUUCCGUUUUAGUCAGAGAUAAGUAAAUACCCCAAGUUUCUUGACCAAAUGGAUAAUAACCUAUAAAGCAAAGAAAAACUGAGUAACCAUCAUCUUUAAAACCACCUUCUCUUCUGGUUUCUAGUAGUUAAAUUCAAGUUUAUUUUGUAGUUUUUAUGGGCAAUUUUGUCUUCCUGUACUUCUGAGUUCUUGUUGUUCAUCAUCCCUUAUUCCACAAAUGAACCACAAUUUAGUCUUCCCCAUCAGUGGAUAUUUAGUUCUUUUCUAUCACAAAAGAUGAACAUUUUAGUUUGUUUCAUAGUGUAAUUCCAAAUUGCCUUGGUCAGCAUGAAAAAAAAUAAUAGUAGUGAUGCAAUUUGUCUAAAAUCAGGACAUGGGAACCAAUGCUCAUUGGACUCCACACAGAGCUUAGGUCUAGGAAUGUUCUCUCUGGGAAAAGAGCAAAAAUGGAAAUUUCCACUGAACUAAAGAACUUUGGAUUAUAUAGUUAUCUUAAGUAGUAUAGACUAGCAGGAACAACUUGGAAAAGAGGGUGUAGCCUGAGGCUCCAAUACCUGGGAACAGCCUAGAUAUAAUAAGAGCUAUUUAUCUGCUAAGUUUAUGCACCAAAUUGUGCUGAAUGUUAGGAGGAACACAAAGAUGAAAUCAACUUGGCUUAAAUGAAAUGAACAACUACAAGUUAAAAUAUAAAGUCAUAAAAGAGUUAAAACACUGGGAGCAUUAUGGAAUAAAUAGUACAAUAUUUAAAAUGGUAAACA
rnacentral:lncRNA from 1 species